UAAAAUCACUGUAAUUUUUAGAGACUGCACGGGAGCUGUGCAGUGUGCACGAUGCACCUCCUUCCCUUUUCAGCGUCUCUACAGUUACCCACAAACAAACGUCUAGCAGAGCAGCUGAUUUCCUUGCUACGCCACUGCUCCACUCUCAAGCACAUAGAGCAAACACAUGGGUUCAUGGUUACCAGAGGGCUGGACCAUGACAACUUCCUUCUCAGCCGAUUCAUCGGUGCCUGUUCCUCUCUGGGCCUUUCUCCCUAUGCCUAUUCAGUCUUCACCCGCAAAGCAGAACCUGACAUCUAUCUUUACAACACUAUGAUCAGGGCUCUCUCUUUCUCUCAAAAACCACCCAAGGCUGCCAUCCUUCUUUUCAACAACAUACAGUCCGCGGGCUUGCGACCUGACUCUUAUUCCUACCCUUUUGUGUUAAAGGCCGUCAUUCGAUUGUUAGCUACUCAAACAGGGAGGCAAAUUCAUUGCCAAACAAUUGGCGUUGGCUUAGACUCUGAUCUUCAUGUCGUCACUGCCCUUAUUCAGAUGUACUCUUCUUGUGGUUGCGGUUGUAUUUCUGAUGCUCGCAAGCUGUUUGAUGGGGUAUGCCUGAGAAUAAGAGAUGCGAUAAUGUGGAACGCAAUGGUUGCUGGUUAUGCCAAGCUGGGUGACAUGGAAAAUGCUCAACACCUUUUUGAUUGCAUGCCUGAAAGAAAUGUGAUUUCUUGGACGGCUGUGAUUUCUGGGUAUGCUCAGAUGAACCGGCCCCACCAAGCAAUUGCCAUCUUACGGAGAAUGCAGCUUGAAAAUGUGGAGCCUGAUGAAAUUACAAUGUUGGCUGCACUUUCUGCAUGUGGCCAUUUGGGUGCCUUAGAAUUGGGUGAGUGGAUUCAUAGCUACAUUGACAAACAUGAAUUAAGUAGAACUGUUCCUCUUAAUAAUGCACUUAUAGACAUGUAUGCAAAGUCAGGGAAUAUCAAAAAGGCAUUAAAAGUGUUUGAGAACAUGAAGCGUAAAAGUAUCAUAACGUGGACAACUAUGAUUUCUGGACUAGCUCUGCAUGGACUUGGAAGGGAAGCUCUUGAAUUGUUCUCUUGCAUGGAAAGGGCUAGAGUUAAACCUAAUGAUGUUACUUUCAUUGCCAUCCUUUCUGCUUGUAGCCAUGCCGGAUUGGUUCAAAUCGGUCAAUCAUUUUUUAGUAAUAUGAGAUCGAGGUAUGGGAUUGAACCUAAGAUUGAGCACUUUGGUUGCGUGAUAGAUUUACUUGGGCGUGCUGGUUAUCUCCAAGAGGCGCGAGAACUGCUUGGACAGAUGCCACUUGAGCCAAAUGCAGCUAUAUGGGGAUCUCUUCUUGCUGCUGCUUAUACUCAUGGUGAUGCUGUGCUCGGAGAGCGCGCAUUGCAGCACCUGAUUAAGUUGGAGCCCGAUAACAGUGGAAACUACGCACUUUUAUCUAAUAUAUAUGCUUCUUGUGAUAGGUGGAAAGCUUCCAGGCUGAUGAGGACAGUGAUGAGGGACAAAGGUGUUAGGAAGAUGCCAGGAGGAAGUUUCAUUGAAGUGAAAAAUAGAGUUAAUGAAUUUAUUGCGGGACAGACAUCACAUGCUCAAUUUGAUGAGAUAUAUGAAGUUCUAUGCAAUAUAAAUGGGCAAUUAAGACUUGCCGAGCAUUUGCAAAGAGAAUGUGAUGAGUUGCUUGAACAUGGUCAGGGAUAGGAUGUUGUACUUUUGACCAUAUGGGAUCUGUUUCCAAGCCAAAUUCUGCUAGGAAUGGGUAAAUUAAAGUUGUGGCCACCUGAGACGCUAUCCUUACCUUGCCUGUUCGACAGCUGAGUCAUUAAACUUACAAUUAGAUGUUUCUUUCUACUGGACUUAGAUAAGUUUAUGGAUGUCAUCAAAUGGAUUAGGAUUUGUUUUACUGUGGAGGCAGCUGGGAACUGUUUUUACUUCAUAACAUCCUCUUCUUGACUUGAUAAUUGAUAUCCUUCAUGCGAGUGGAGCAUUGCAGAACCAUUGAAUGUUUUCCAUCUCAAUAACAUGAGGUACGCAGCUGUAAAAUCUCAAUGUUUUUCAUGCUGCUGGUAGAUUUUCAGACACACACGCACAUAUCCUCUCUCUACUCUUUAUUCUGUUUCUGACAAUUGAAGUGUUAUGAUAAAUGUUAUCUAGCGUAGAAAGUAGCAUACAGAAUUGGCAACUUUAAUCAGAAAAAUAAAUGUAUAGAACAUUUGUAUUCAUUUGAUCUACUAAAUUCUUUGAAGCAGCUGAUGAUAAGAUCCUUUUGGCAUUGAAAUACGUUAAGGAGCUAAAGAGAUAGUUAAUGCAUUUCGUGACUAUGUCAGCCUCAGCUCUUGGAAUAAUAAUUUAAGCCUUUCCCAGAAGUCAAUUGUUUUAGGGAUUUAGUUUUGUUUUAUCUGUUGGUUAUUCUUCCCAAAUGCCAGUGCAAAUUAGGGUUACUGAAUAGGUGUGAAGUGUUCUAUAUGAUGCUCAUAUGCUAUUAGACUGGAUUCAACAGCGGCAGAACAAGAAAACUUUUAUUGUUGUGUUUUGUAUGUGUGUUUUUU
rnacentral:misc_RNA from 1 species